UACGUAGGGUGCAAGCGUUGUCCGGAAUUAUUGGGCGUAAAGAGCUCGUAGGCGGUCAGUCGCGUCUGCUGUGAAAACUCGGGGCUUAACUCCGGGCCUGCAGUGGGUACGGGCUGACUAGAGUGCGGUAGGGGAGACUGGAAUUCCUGGUGUAGCGGUGAAAUGCGCAGAUAUCAGGAGGAACACCGGUGGCGAAGGCGGGUCUCUGGGCCGUAACUGACGCUGAGGAGCGAAAGCGUGGGGAGCAAACAGG
rnacentral:rRNA from 1 species